rnacentral:ncRNA from 1 species
UUCUGGGAGGGUUGACAGAUCCAGAGCUCUUUCUUGAUUCUGUGGAUUUCGGUGCAUGUCCGUUCUUAGUUGUUAAAGUGGUUUGUCUGGUUAAUUCCGAUAACAAACGAGACUCUAGUCAAUCAAAUACGUGCGUGGUCCUCUGCACCUUGCACCCUUCUCAGAAGGAGAAGCGGCUCCUAUUGGGGAGGAGAUCGAACAGUCACGCCUCUAGCGGUGCGCUUCAGCUGUGGGGACAACAAACCCCAUUU